UACGUAGGUGGCAAGCGUUGUCCGGAAUUACUGGGCGUAAAGGGCGUGUAGGCGGCCAUUUAAGUCAGACGUGAAAGCCCAAGGCUUAACCAUGGGACUGCGUUUGAAACUGGAUGGCUUGAGGAUCGGAGAGGGCAGUGGAAUUCCCAGUGUAGCGGUGAAAUGCGUAGAUAUUGGGAGGAACACCAGUGGCGAAGGCGACUGCCUGGACGACACCUGACGCUGAGGUGCGAAAGCGUGGGGAGCAAACAGG
rnacentral:rRNA from 1 species